GACGGAGGAGGCAAGCGUUAUCCGGAAUUACUGGGCGUAAAGGGUACGCAGGCGGCUUCUUAAGUCUGGCGUGAAAGGUCACGGCUUAACUGGGAGAGGUCGUUGGAGACUGAGGGGCUUGAGGCGAUGAGAGGGGUGUAGAAUUCCCGGUGUAGUGGUGGAAUGCGUAGAUAUCGGGAGGAAUACCAGUGGCGAAAGCGACACCCUGGCAUAGGCCUGACGCUCAUGUACGAAAGCGUGGGGAGCAAACGGG
rnacentral:rRNA from 1 species